UAGCUAAUACCGGAUAACAACAGAUGAUGCCUAUCAACUGUUUAAAAGAUGGUUCUGCUAUCACUCUUGGAUGGACCUGCGGUGCAUUAGCUAGUUGGUAGGGUAACGGCCUACCAAGGCGAUGAUGCAUAGCCGAGUUGAGAGACUGAUCGGCCACAUUGGGACUGAGACACGGCCCAAACUCCUACGGGAGGCAGCAGUU
rnacentral:rRNA from 1 species